CCCAGCACCAUAGGGCAUUUAAGCGAAGCGAAGUGGGCCCAGAAUGCCAUUCUUAAUGUGGGAAGAACACACUAUCUAAUGUGCCCAGAAAACAAACAAGGAAGGGCUUGAGUGUUUAGCUGGAGAAAUAGCCUCGCUACCAGUCAGACUCUCCGGCCCCACUUCUUCAUCAACAUCACCUUCAGCACGACAGACACCUGCUCUGGGAGAGCCUCGCAAUUUUUCAGAACCAACAAUGUUUGCAAACCAUCAGGGUUCCAGCGAAGAAAUAGAAGAAUUCUGUGGAUUUCAUUGCCCAACCAUCCGUUAACCUCUACCUUUCCACGCCGGCCAAGAAAACUGCCUCGGUAGCCUUGACUGUACUGCCAUACCGCAACCACCCAAAUUAGCUUUCUCUUCGGAGAGCGGGGCCACAGCUGCACAAACCCUGACAUUUAGAGCGGCGGGGAGAAACUCCCAGCAGUGAUUUCUUCUGAAGAAUUUGAGGAACUAAGCAUAUUUAUUUAAAAUACCAAUUAUUCCAGAUAGACCUUGUCACUAACAGGAAAGAUAUUUCAGUUUAAAAAUAUAUAUGUGUGCGUUUAACUAUGUAUUUAUCUAAGUACAUAUUUAUUUCAUUGACGUCACUCAUUUGUAGAUCAUGUUUUUACAAAAGGAAAAAAAGAUUUGUUUAAUAAGGUUUUUUUUUUCUUUCAAUAUUAUCAUCCCAUCCAUUGUUGCAACAUAAAGAUGUGGUUGAAGAA